GUCAGUGCAGAGCAGUUCUUGACGACAGCGUGUAUCAUCUUUUAACAUGCAAGUGAACUUCACAUAUCACGCAGGAGAGAGCCAAGACAUUGCUACUCAAACUCAGGUGACCGACCAGACAUUAUAGCACUUGAUACACCUUCUGGUAUGAGCAUUGACUUAGACAUCUCUCUUGCCCAUCCCUGGAGCUCAGGUAUUUUCCUCAUCCUCAAAAGUAGAUGGUCUAGCUUCGAAGCAAAGAGAAGAAAGAAAAAAUCAAAUAUCAAGAUGAAAGGCUACCAACUGGCAACCAAAUAAUCUUUAAGCCUUUAGUCAUUGAACACUUCGGUAGAUGGGGUGAUGCCAAUACCUAUUUUCUCUCGGAUCUCAAUCUUUUGAUAAAAAUGGUUGGCACAACUCGGCACAAUUUAUGAAUCACUGGCGGAAAAGGUUCAGCAUUCAAUUACAGCGAUGCAAUGCUAGAGUAAUCCAACGCAAGAUGUCAUCCUUGGGUUGCAGAGUCCACACAAAAACAAGCUGCUUUCAUCUCCAAUAAUUAGUGUUGUAAUAACUGGACCCUCUUUGGGUUCUUUAGUAGUUAGAAAAUGUAAUUUUUAGUUCUCAGUUGGUUCAGUAGUUGAUAUCUGUAGUCUCUAGGUGAUUCUGUAUAAUUUGACUCGUAGUUACAUAUUGUAUGUUGCUAGAUUCAUGUUUCAAAUAUAUGUAUUGGACA